UACGUAGGUGGCAAGCGUUGUCCGGAAUUAUUGGGCGUAAAGCGCGCGCAGGUGGUUUCUUAAGUCUGAUGUGAAAGCCCACGGCUCAACCGUGGAGGGUCAUUGGAAACUGGGGAACUUGAGUGCAGAAGAGGAAAGUGGAAUUCCAAGUGUAGCGGUGAAAUGCGUAGAGAUUUGGAGGAACACCAGUGGCGAAGGCGAACUUUCUGGUCUGUAACUGACACUGAGGCGCGAAAGCGUGGGGAGCAAACAGGG
rnacentral:rRNA from 1 species